rnacentral:rRNA from 1 species
GGAUUGGGAUACAUCGGUCGCGCCUUUUGGGGCAUGAAUCGGUGUGUGGUCAAUUCUCACCUUCUGGUGAAUCGGGAUGCUCUCGGGUGUUUCGAUGAACUAGGACCUUUACUUUGAAAAAAUUAGAGUGUUUAAAGCAGGCUCGCGCUUGAAUACAUUAGCAUGGAAUAAUGAAAUAGG